CAGCAAACGGCCGGCGGCGGGUGCCGCGCGGGGGGCGGGCGGCGCGGAGUAGGUGGCGGCGGCCAUGGCCGAGGCGUCGCCGCAUCCCGGACGGUACUUCUGCCACUGCUGCUCCGUGGAGAUCGUCCCGCGCCUGCCGGAUUAUAUCUGUCCAAGAUGCGAGUCUGGUUUUAUCGAGGAGCUUCCGGAAGAGACCAGGAGCACAGAAAAUGGUUCUGCCCCCUCCACAGCUCCCACAGACCAGAGCCGGCCACCGUUGGAGCACGUGGACCAGCACCUGUUCACGCUGCCGCAGGGCUACGGACAGUUUGCUUUCGGCAUCUUCGAUGACAGCUUCGAGAUCCCCACGUUCCCUCCUGGGGCGCAGGCUGACGACGGCAGGGACCCUGAGAGCCGGCGGGAGAGAGACCAUCCGUCCCGGCACCGGUACGGCGCCCGACAGCCCCGCGCCCGCCUCACCACGCGGCGGGCCACCGGCCGGCACGAAGGCGUCCCCACGCUGGAAGGGUGAGGGGGCCCCGGGGGUGGCCGCGAGGGCCCCACGCCGUGAGGUCGGAAGUUCUGGCGCUUAGAAUCCAGCACGGGUUCCACGGAAACGUGGCAUCAUCCAUAGGCUCUCUGGAGAGGCCGCCCGGCCAGGCGCUCCAGCCCCCUGUGACUCCCCACACGGCCCUUCGGAGACAGAAGUAUGCCGGUUCAGGGUGUGUGGGUUGACCACAGAGUGGGGCACCGU
rnacentral:sRNA from 1 species